rnacentral:lncRNA from 1 species
CAAUGGAAUGACUAUGCUCAUAGCAAAGCAUUUUCUAACAAAAUUUUAGCAACAAUGGGUUCUCCAAAACCUCCCAAGAAUUUCAGCCGUCGGAUCAUCCUGCUCAAUACCCAGAACAAAAUCAAUGGCUUUACUAAGUGGUCAAUCAACAAUGUUUCUCUCUCAUUACCUGCUACUCCUUACUUAGGCUCUAUGAAAUACGGCCUCCUCCAUGCUUUUGAUCAAACAAACCCGCCUGAAAACUACCCUGCACAAUAUGAUGUAAUGAA